GGAAGUAAGACAGAAAAGUAGAAAACCUUGUUCUUCAGUGUGCUGUGUAAAAACAAGCCAGGAGACUCUAUCCACUGAUGCAACUUCUGAUCUCUAAAUGCUCCACUUGUCAGUGCCCUGCUCUGCAGUGGUGUGGGGGAAGGCACGGUGCUUAUUCUAAAGUGUGAAGAGGCAUCCAGUUCCCAGACUCAGAAUGUAAUUGUGCCAAUUCAAGAGCACGUGCAACACAAAUCAAAGACCUGGAAAGUGUUAAUUUGCAGGCCUGAUCCAGGGCAUCUCCAAGUGUUCCAGGGAAGGCUGAAAGGAACAGGUUUCACUUUGAGCUUUGUAACACCUUACCAGGUGUGUAAACUGAUAACUCAGAUUAAGUUGCUGAGAGUUUUUCUUAUGUGUCCUGU